rnacentral:rRNA from 1 species
CCUACGGGAGGCAGCAGUGGGGAAUAUUGCGCAAUGGGCGAAAGCCUGACGCAGCGACGCCGCGUGAGGGAUGAAGGUCUUCGGAUCGUAAACCUCUGUCGGCAGGGAAGAACGGUCACUGUGCUAAUCAGCAGUGAAUUCACGGUACCUGCAACGGAAGCACCGGCUAACUCCGUGCCCGCAGCCGCGGUAAUACGGAGGGUGCGAGCGUUAAUCGGAAUUACUGGGCGGAAAGCGCUCGUAGGCGGUAUGUCAAGUCAAGGGUGAAAUCCCCGCGCUCAACGUGGGAACUGCCUUUGAAACUGGCAAACUGGAGUGUGUGAGAGGAUAGUGGAAUUCCAGGUGUAGGAGUGAAAUCCGUAGAUAUCUGGAGGAACAUCAGGGGCGAAGGCGACUAUCUGGCACAUAACUGACGCUGAGGAGCGAAAGCGUGGGUAGCAAACAGGAUUAGAUACCCUUGUAGUC